UACGUAGGGUCCAGGCGUUAAUCGGAAUUACUGGGCGUAAAGCGUGCGCAGGCGGUUGUGCAAGACCGAUGUGAAAUCCCCGAGCUUAACUUGGGAAUUGCAUUGGUGACUGCACGGCUAGAGUGUGUCAGAGGGGGGUAGAAUUCCACGUGUAGCAGUGAAAUGCGUAGAGAUGUGGAGGAAUACCGAUGGCGAAGGCAGCCCCCUGGGAUAACACUGACGCUCAUGCACGAAAGCGUGGGGAGCAAACAGG
rnacentral:rRNA from 1 species